rnacentral:rRNA from 1 species
CGCAAGCCUGACGGAACAAGACCGCGUGCGGGAUGACGGCCUAAUGGUUGUAAACCGCUUUUCUCUGGGAAGAUGAUGACGGUACCAGAGGAAUCAGCCUCGGCUAACUCCGUGCCAGCAGCCGCGGUAAUACGGAGGAGGCAAGCGUUAUCCGGAAUUAUUGGGCGCAAAGCGUCCGUAGGUGGUUAUUCAAGUCUGCUGUCAAAGCGUGGGGCUUAACUCCAUAGAGGCAGUGGAAACUGGAUGACUUGAGUGCGGUAGGGGUCGAGGGAAUUCCCAGUGUAGCGGUGAAAUGCGUAGAUAUUGGGAAGAACACCAGUGGCGAAAGCGCUCGACUGGGCCUGCACUGACACUGAGGGACGAAAGCUAGGGGAGCG